GAUGAACGCUGGCGGCAGGCCUAACACAUGCAAGUCGAGCGGGGUUUUCGGACCUAGCGGCGGACGGGUGAGUAAUGCGUAGGAAGCUACCCGAUAGAGGGGGAUACCAGUUGGAAACGACUGUUAAUACCGCAUAAUGUCUACGGACCAAAGUGUGGGACCUUCGGGCCACAUGCUAUCGGAUGCGCCUACGUGGGAUUAGCUAGUUGGUGAGGUAAUGGCUCACCAAGGCGACGAUCCCUAGCUGGUUUGAGAGGAUGAUCAGCCACACUGGAACUGAGACACGGUCCAGACUCCUACGGGAGGCAGCAGUGGGGAAUAUUGGACAAUGGGCGCAAGCCUGAUCCAGCCAUGCCGCGUGUGUGAAGAAGGCCUUCGGGUUGUAAAGCACUUUCAGUAGGGAGGAAGCGUUGUGUGUUAAUAGUACACAGCGUUGACGUUACCUACAGAAGAAGCACCGGCUAACUCUGUGCCAGCAGCCGCGGUAACAC
rnacentral:rRNA from 1 species